UGGGGAAUAUUGGACAAUGGGCGAAAGCCUGAUCCAGCCAUGCCGCGUGUGUGAAGAAGGCCUUAUGGUUGUAAAGCACUUUAAGCGAGGAGGAGGGUACUGGUAUUAAUACUACCAGCUACUGGACGUUACUCGCAGAAUAAGCACCGGCUAACUCUGUGCCAGCAGCCGCGGUAAUACAGAGGGUGCGAGCGUUAAUCGGAUUUACUGGGCGUAAAGCGUGCGUAGGCGGCUAAUUGAGUCGGAUGUGAAAUCCCCGAGCUUAACUUGGGAAUUGCAUUCGAUACUGGUUAGCUAGAGUGUGGGAGAGGAUGGUAGAAUUACAGGUGGAGCGGAGAAAUGCGUAGAGAUCUGGAGGAAUACCGAUGGCGAAGGCAGCCAUCUGGCCUAACACUGACGCUGAGGUACGAAAGCAUGGGGAGCAAACAGG
rnacentral:rRNA from 1 species